AGAUGUUAAAAGCAAGAGACAUGGGAGAGCAUCAUUCCUUUGAGAUUUUAUAAAUCAAACCAACUUUGGAGUUGUCUGAUUUGGAGAGUCAUUCUUCUUGGUCUGCGCUCUUAGAGGCCACUGAUGAAGAACAGGCGGUGACUGGGAUGAAUCCUGGUCAGAGAGGAGAAUCUUCUUUCCCCUAAACAGCACUGGUUUUAAAGGAGGACGCUGCCCUGGAUGAUGUAGAAGAUGUCACAUGCUGUGCUGAUGGGGCUUCUUCAUGAUUACAUCAGUUAUGCUAAAGAGAUCAUGAAAAUUGACCGUGAUGCAUGAUCUGUAUUCAUGGACUAUGAAACAAACUGUAAGUGUAUAAUUUGUUAAAAAAAAAAGUUAAAUGCUUUUUCUGUGUUGUUUAGUAGAAGAGUUUACACUCUGUCAUUCAUACACCUGCUCACAUUCUUUCACACACACACACACACACACACACACAUGCGUCUGUUAAAGGUUAUAAUAUCAAAGUUAAUGUUGUGAUUUAUUUGUGUACUGUCAUGCCAGAAUAGUUGGAAAAAAACUAACUAAUUGUAAAUUUAUUGUAUGUGUUUUCGUAUAUUUUUAUACAAUAUAUACAAUUGAACAAAGUCCAAUUUGAUCUUAAGUUAUAUUCAUCAAAUGUUCAAUGCUUUAUGAACUCUGUAGCUGUUAAUGCCAUCCUUUUCUGCAUUUCUUCUAACAUGUUACUUUUUGACUUUUCUCUUAUUUUUAAUAAAUAUUUUCCUUUUGGUAAUUAUUAUUUGUGUGUAAAAGUGAUAUUUAAAAUGAACAACAUUUGUAGGUUUAAUGCCUAGCUCAAUUUGGGUUAAUUUUAACGUAGAAAUGCAUUGUUUCCCCACAUGGCUGCACUCUGCGAGUUUAUGUUCUGCCAGCAGGAGGCGCUAGGAGCGGGAGAGGUAGGUUUCUCCGGUAACGGCUGCAGAGCGGUGCUGAGCUCACAAACGCUGCCUUAUCAAGCACAUGCGAAAUGAUAUCGAACAUUUUCUAAAUACAGUAGUUUUCCUUCUGAAAUACAGUGAUAAAAAACACCCGCUCUGGUUUUUUAAACCCUGCAAUAUAGUAAUUUUAAACCAUAAAAAAGGCAACCCAGCAGGCUGGGUUAAAUAUGAUAACCCAACUGGUUGGGUUAAAACAACCCAGCGCUUGGUUCGUCCCUUUUUGACCCAGCGCUGGGUUGUCAAAAUAACCCAAAUUGGGUUGUUUUCAACCCAG